rnacentral:rRNA from 1 species
UACGAAGGGGGCUAGCGUUGCUCGGAAUCACUGGGCGUAAAGCGCACGUAGGCGGCUUUUUAAGUCAGGGGUGAAAUCCUGGAGCUCAACUCCAGAACUGCCUUCGAUACUGGGAAUCUUGAGUCCGGGAGAGGUGAGUGGAACUGCGAGUGUAGAGGUGAAAUUCGUAGAUAUUCGCAAGAACACCAGUGGCGAAGGCGGCUCACUGGCCCGGUACUGACGCUGAGGUGCGAAAGCGUGGGGAGCAAACAGG